rnacentral:rRNA from 1 species
GAUGAACGCUGGCGGCGUGCUUAACACAUGCAAGUCGAACGAGCGAUGUAGACGGACACCUUCGGGCGGAAGCCUUCAUUUCGAGUGGCGGCCGGGGGAGUAACGCGUGGGUAACCUGCCUCAUACAGGGGGAUAACAGUUGGAAACGACUGAUAAUACCGCAUAAGACCACAGCAACGCAUGAUGCGGGGGUAAAAACUCUGGUAGUAUGAGAUGGACCCGCGUUGCAUGAGCCAGAUGGAGGGGUAACGGCACACAAAAGCGAAGAUGCAUAGCCGACCGCAGCGGGUGAUCGGCCACCAUGGCACUGAGACACGGUCCAGACUCCUACGGGAGGCCGCAGUAGGGAAUCUUCCGCAAUGGGCCAACGCCUGACGGAGCAACGCCGCGUGAGUGAUGAAGGUCUUCGGAUCGUAAAACUAUGUUAUUAGGGAAGAACAUAUGUGUAAGUAACUGUGCACAUCUUGACGGUACCUAAUCAGAAAGCCAGGGCUAACUACGUG